ensembl:snRNA U1 U1 spliceosomal RNA
CAACUUAUCUGGCAGGGGAGAUACCAUGAUCAAGAAGGUGGUUCACCCAGGGCGAGGCACAGUCAUUGCACUGCGACUGUGCUGACCACUGCGAAUUCCCCAAAUGUGGGAAUCUCGACUGUAUAAUUUGUGGUAGUGUGGGACUGCGUUCGCGCUCUCCCCUG